CCUACGGGGGGCAGCAGUGGGGAAUAUUGCACAAUGGGGGAAACCCUGAUGCAGCGACGCCGCGUGAGUGAAGAAGUAUCUCGGUACGUAAAGCUCUAUCAGCAGGGAAGAAAAAAAGUCUUUGGCUUUGGACGGUACCUGACUAAGAAGCCCCGGCUAACUACGUGCCAGCAGCCGCGGUAAUACGUAGGGGGCAAGCGUUAUCCGGAAUUACUGGGUGUAAAGGGAGCGUAGACGGCUGUGCAAGUCUGGAGUGAAAGGCGGGGGCCCAACCCCCGGACUGCUCUGGAAACUGUAUGGCUGGG
rnacentral:rRNA from 1 species